rnacentral:lncRNA from 10 species
GUAACCGCUUGAGUGCGUUCACCUCGCCUCUUCCAUCCCCAGCGCCAGCCCAGCCCCCUCUCUUUCUCCCAGAGUCCCAUCCUCCUCUCCCUCACCUCUCCCAUCCCAGCUCCCUGCAGCGCGGGUCCCGAGCUGCUCCAGAUCCCCAGCACCCAGCUCUGGUCUUUCCAGACAACUCCUCCCCUUCAGAAUCUGGUGUGGUAGCAGGGAGGUUGUGAGAAGGGACACUGAGGAAGAUAAAGAAGGAGAAGCCAGUGGACUGGGAAGAAGGUUUGGCUGAUACAGAUGUUUCCUUUGCACUGGCAGAGUCGCUGACAGUUAACGAUGCAUCUCAACUCAUGAAUCUCUCCUGCCGCUCACCCUGACAAGUUGGAGAGGAAAAGACUGCCUGCAGAUGGUGUUUCAAGUGUGUACAAUACAGUGGGUUCCAAACACAUGGGGACUGUGUUGGGGUUGCCAAACUCACUGUGCUCUCACAUGUAGCAUAAUGCAUUUGAUAAAAGAGAUCAAUUUAUUAGCAGUGUUUUAUGAUUACAGGGAAAAAUAUUGGCUUUGUUGGCUAAGGAGAAAAAUUUAAACUGAGCCCCUAUGGAGAAGUGAGGAAAAAAACUUACUAAUUUUAAAGGAGUUGCUUUUUUCAGAUCCUCUUUUUUGGCACUUUAUUUCUUCAGUACUGGAGGUCUCCCUGAUGCGCUGUUUUAGGUCACAAGCUACCAUGAUUGUGGGCAAUAACACUAAAGCCCUUGUCAUUGCCAAGCAUCCCUGUUCCUUAAAUUCUCUGCAAAACUGUUCAUUCGUCAUAGCUAUUGUUCCCUCACCACUGGCAAAGGGACACAAGUUAAUCUCCAUGUUGAGUGAAGGGCUCAAUAUUGGAACGUGGAUUUGUAUAACACGGAACACAAAUUUCUAUCAAAGACAUAUUUUGAGAAAGAACUAUUAUAAUAGUUGGGGAUGACUGAGGUGGACAGAAAUUUCAGUUUUUGAGAAAAUUGGGUAUUCCUGGUUGCUCCAAAAGACAGAGAGUUUCUCAGAGAUAUCCUACUGUGUAUCUACAGUGUUUCAUUUACAGUGGGCACUCAAUAAAUGCUUGACUAUAUAAAUAAAGAAGUGAAUGGCAUCAAAUGGCAUUGACUAUAUAAAUAAAGGAGCGAAUGGCCUAACACAAGGAUUCGCACUGAAUUUAGAAGACUUUUCUCCACUAUUGUUCUCUCUGGAGAGUAUAAGAAUGAGAAUAAAAUGGAAAUUUUAGAAAGCAGAGGGGUGCAGUGACCAUUUAGACUGAUCCUCUUAUCUUGGAGAUUAUAAUGACUAUAUUUAUUUAGUAUUUAUCCUGCCAGGUAUUGUGCUAAGAGUUGAACAUGGCAUAUCUCAUUUAAUCCUCAUAACAAUGCUCUAAGUGGGUAUUAACCCAUUUUAUAGAUAAGAAAAUUGAGGCACAGAGAGGUCACACAGCUAGUAAGCGAUAAAGCUAGGAUUAAACCUGGGCCCUCUGGCUUGACAGCCAGCACUCUUUUUUUUUUUGAGACGGAGUCUCGCUCUGUCGCCCAGGCUGGAGUGCAGUGGCGCAAUCUCGGCUCACUGCCAGCUCCACCUCUCGGGUUCACGCCAUUCGCCUGCCUCAGCCUCUCGAGUAGCUGGGACUACAGGCGCCCGCCACCAUGCCCGGCUAAUUUUUUGUGUUUUUAGUAGAGACGGGGUUUCACCGUGUUAGUCAGUAUGGUCUCCAUCUCCUGACCUCGUGAUCCGCCCGCCUCCGCCCCCCAAAGUGCUGGGAUUACAAGCGUGAGCCACCGCGCCCGGCCACACUUUUUUAUUAUGCUACUUUGGCUGCCACUCAAGCCUUAGAGAGGUUGAAUUAUGUAUCCAAAGCUGUUACAGGGUUGGGUCUCAGACUUUAUCUCAUGAUUUCCCAUUCUAUGGCUUUUUCUUCUACCACACAUUUGAUUGAGUAAAAAGCCUUUCGUAUAACAUAUGGUCCUCAAACUACAACAUAAAUUGCAGAGAUAACUGGUGAACUGGUGAAAGCAAUUGCCAAGAUUCCCGAAGCAGGAUCCUGCCAUCUUUACAGCUGAUCUCAGGCAAUCAGAAUUCUAAAUCCUAUGGCUAGAGACUAGCAUGUUUAGGAAUUUAGCCUGGGGCAAAAUCCCAAGGAGUACAAGUUUUUGACCUGAUAGAUUCUUAUUCUCUAUUCAUGCAAGAGUAGGGGUGACUAUAAAAUAAUUUAACUAAUUCACACAAGUU